AGUGGUUUGCACGUGUGUGUGUGUGUGUGUGUGUGUGUGUGUGUGCGUUGGUAUUCCUAUCUUUAUGGGGACAUUGAUCUGUAUACACAGUCACCUUAUGGGGACCAAAAACGUUAUGGGGACAAAAAUCUAGGUCCCCAUAAGGGAAACCAUUAAAACAUAUUGGGGAGACUGUAUAUAUGUGCCUUACAAAGUUUUAGCUUAGGCCCAUAACGAACGACCUCAUCGGAUCACACGGUUCACACGGAUUCUCUAUGUUGCCACCUGUAGUCAGGAACCGGAACUUUUUGGGGGUGGGGCUUGGCCGAGCCUUACACACAUUUUGCAAGCCUAAUUUAUGCAAAUCACGGUACCGCCCACUUAACGGAGGUGUUUGCGUGAUUUGCGCAUGUGCAAUAGCUUUGAGAGGUAAGAGCACCGUAAAGUUUUGUUCUAUUAAGCAAUUAUAAUACUUAUCUUUCGAGUAAAAUAAAUAAGAUUAAAUAAACAAUAAAUGUAGGUGUGUAAAAAAGUGGCUGCUAUGUUAAUAUUUUCAAAAAAUUGUUAAAAUGGUGAAACGAGAGCUGCGUUAUGGCGAAGUGUAGUUUUAUCUGACCAUUAAUGAGUUUUCAGCACCACGGGAAGUAGAAACAUAGACGAAAGGAAGAUUCUACUGCUUUUACACGACCAAAUACAGUGAAAGCAGUUUGAAAUGCCACCACGAAUCAGCCCACUUAAGGAUGCCAUUCAUUACGUUGUUUCAAAGACUGACAAAACAUGGAAAUUAGAUGUGAAGUACAUCAAUGCAGAGAAAGGCCGUGGUAUAUUUGCAAAGGGUUUGAUUUGCAAAGGAGAUUUUGUUGUUGAAUAUAGGGGAGAAAUGAUAAAUAAUGCGGAAUCCCAGAGAAGAAGAAAACUUUACCACCCAUCAUGUACUGCAUUUAUGUUUGCGUUCAAGUGGAGAGGGAAAAUGUAUUGUAUUGAUGCCUCUAAAGAAGAUGGAUCCUUUGGGCGGCUAGUUAAUGAUGACCACAGGCAUCCAAACUGUAGGAUGAAAAAAAUUGAUGUGAAUGGAAACCCGCACCUUUGUCUGUUUGCACUAAAUGACAUUAAUGAAGGAGAAGAGAUUUCCUAUGACUAUGGAGGUGACGACUGCCCAUGGAGAAAACAAGCGACCAGCAUUACAGCUAAUGCCAUGGGGCCGGACGACUCUCAACCUUCCCUCUUGUCAAAGACUCCGAUAUAUG